CUUUACGUGUUGAAGGUGACAGGGGAGAUCUGGUGAGUGAGCAGGCCGCGGCCAGGCUAGGGUCACAGCCCGCUGUGGGUCUCACUCCACUCUCACUCUUCCCCACCACUCUGCCUGCCUC
ensembl:miRNA